UACGUAGGGGGCAAGCGUUGUCCGGAUUUAUUGGGCGUAAAGAGCGUGUAGGCGGCCAGGUAGGUCUGCUGUGAAAACUCGAGGCUUAACCUCGAGCUGUCGGCGGAAACCAUCUGGCUAGAGUCCGGAAGAGGAGAAUGGAAUUCCCGGUGUAGCGGUGAAAUGCGUAGAGAUCGGCAGGAACACCCAGGGGGAAACCAGUCGACUGGGCAGCUACUGACGCUGAGGUGCGAGAGCGUGGGGAGCGAACCGG
rnacentral:rRNA from 1 species